rnacentral:rRNA from 1 species
UACGUAGGGUGCAAGCGUUGUCCGGAAUUAUUGGGCGUAAAGAGCUCGUAGGCGGUCUGUCGCGUCGGAUGUGAAAACCCAGGGCUCAACCCUGGGCCUGCAUUCGAUACGGGCAGACUAGAGUUCGGUAGGGGAGACUGGAAUUCCUGGUGUAGCGGUGAAAUGCGUAGAGAUCGGGAGGAACACCAGAGGCGAAGGCGCCUAGCUGGACAGAUACUGACACUCAACAACGAAAGCGUGGGGAGCAAACAGG